UUGGCCCCGGGUUGGACAGCCCUGCUCUAAACCAAUACUUCUCAUUCGGGAGUGGUCUCCAAUGGAAGGGGUGUGCACGCCUUGCCCACGGGUGAGGAAGCCUAAUCCUUCCGGGACCGCACCCACCUGGUCCGUAAGGUUCAGGAGCCCGGCGCACACGGCCACGGCGGGGGAGCU
rnacentral:other from 1 species